GAAAGAUUAGUUUAAACUAAAACAUUAACUUGUCAAGUUAAAAAUAUUAAUAAAUUAAUAUCUAUCA
rnacentral:tRNA from 1 species